GAUGAAGAACGUAGCGAAAUGCGAUAAGUAAUGUGAAUUGCAGAAUUCAGUGAAUCAUCGAAUCUUUGAACGCACCUUGCGCCCUUUGGACAUUCCGAAGGGCAUGCCUGUUUGAGUAUCAUGAACACCUCAACUCUCACGGCUUGUCCGUGAUGAGCUUGGACCUUGGGGGUCUUGCCGGCCUGUGGUCGGCUCCUCUCAAAUGGAUCAGCUUGCCAGUGUUUGGUGGCAUCACAGGUGUGAUAACUAUCUGCGCUUGUGGUUUUCCAUCAGAUAACCUUCAGUGAUAUGGAGGUUCGCUGGAGCUCACAAAUGUCUCUCCUUAGUGAGGACAGCUCUUUGAACGUUUGAUCUCAAAUCAGGUAGGACUACCCGCUGAACUUAAGCAUAUCAAUAAGCGGAGGA
rnacentral:misc_RNA from 1 species